rnacentral:rRNA from 1 species
GACGAACCGUGCGAACGUUGUUCGGAAUCACUGGGCUUAAAGCGCGUGUAGGCGGCCCGGCACGUCCGUCGCUGAAAUCCCCCGGCUCAACCGGGGAAGGGGCGCGGAUACGACCGGGCUGGAGGGGGGUAGGGGGAGCCGGAACUUCCGGUGGAGCGGUGAAAUGCGUUGAGAUCGGAAGGAACGCCCGUGGCGAAAGCGGGCUCCUGGACCCCACCUGACGCUGAGACGCGAAAGCCAGGGGAGCGAACGGG